rnacentral:rRNA from 1 species
UGAGUACGAAAUGCUACGGCAUUGAAGCAGUCUAUGUCAUACUUCCAAGAAAAGCUUGCACUGUCAUAAACAAAUAAUGCCUGUACCAUAACCGACACAGGUGGGUAGGUAGAGUAUACUAAGGGGCGCGAGAUAACUCUCUCUAAGGAACUCGGCAAAAUGACUCCGUAACUUCGGGAGAAGGAGUGCCUUAUUUCUAAGGUUGCAAUAACAAGAUCCAAGCAACUGUUUAUCAAAAACACAGGUCUCCGCUAAGUCGUAAGACGAUGUAUGGGGGCUGACGCCUGCCCAGUGCCAGAAGGUUAAAGAAGUUGGUUAGCAUCCGCGAAGCUGAUAACUGAAGCCCUGGUGAACGGCGGCCGUAACAAUAACGGUCCUAAGGUAGCGAAAUUCCUUGUCGGGUAAGUUCCGACCCGCACGAAAGGCGUAAUGAUUUGGAUACUGUCUCGGAGAGGGGCUCGGUGAAAUAGACUUGUCUGUGAAGAUGCGGACUACCUGCACCUGGACAGAAAGACCCUAUGAAGCUUUACUGUAACUUGAAAUUGAAAUUGGACUUUAUUUGCGCAGUAUAGGUGGGAGGCGUUGAAGAUAUUCUUGCGGGAAGAUUGGAGCCAUCAGUGAGAUGCCACUCUUGUAAUGUUAGAUUUCUAACUUUGUAUCAUUAUCUGGUCAAAGAACAGUUUCAGGCGGGCAGUUUGACUGGGGCGGUCGCCUCCCAAACGGUAACGGAGGCGCACAGAGGUUUCCUCUGAACGGGUAGAAAUCGUAUCUAGAGUGUAAAGGCAUAAGGAAGCUUGACUGUGAGACCUACAAGUCGAGCAGGGACGAAAGUCGGUCUUAGUGAUCUGACGGUGCUGAGUGGAAAGGCCGUCACUCAACGGAUAAAAGUUACUCUAGGAUAACAGGCUGAUCUCCCCCAAGAGUUCACAUCGACGGGGAGGUUUGGCACCUCGAUGUCGGCUCAUCGCAUCCUGGGGCGGUAGUACGUCCCAAGGGUUGGGCUGUUCGCCCAUGAAAGCGGUACGCGAGCUGGGUUCAGAACGUCGUGAGACAGUUCGGUCCAUAUCCGGUGUAGGCGUUAGAAUAUUGAGAGGAGCCUUCUUUAGUACGAGAGGACCGAGAAGGACAUACCUCUGGUGUACUAGUUAUCGUGCCAACGGUAAACGCUGGGUAGCUAUGUAUGGACAGGAUAACCGCUGAAAGCAUCUAAGUGGGAAGCCCACCUCAAGAUAAG